rnacentral:rRNA from 1 species
CCUGCAGGCGGUCUCGUAAGUGGGAUGUGAAAUCUCCUGGCUUAACUGGGAGGGGCCAUUCCAUACUGCGAGACUUGAGGGCAGAAGAGGGAAGCGGAAUUCCCGGUGUAGUGGUGAAAUGCGUAGAUAUCGGGAGGAACACCAGUGGCGAAGGCGGCUUCCUGGCCUGCUCCUGACGCUAAGAGGCGAAAGCUAGGGGAGCGAACGGGAUUAGAAACCCCGGUAGUCCUAGCCAUAAACGAUGGAUACUGGGUGUCGGUGGUCCUAACCCCAUCGGUGCCGAAGCUAACGCGUUAAGUAUCCCGCCUGGGGACUACGGCCGCAAGGUUAAA